AUUGAACGCUGGCGGCAGGCUUAACACAUGCAAGUCGAGCGGAGAGAGGUAGCUUGCUACUGAUCUUAGCGGCGGACGGGUGAGUAAUGCUUAGGAAUCUGCCUAUUAGUGGGGGACAACAUUUCGAAAGGAAUGCUAAUACCGCAUACGUCCUACGGGAGAAAGCAGGGGAUCUUCGGACCUUGCGCUAAUAGAUGAGCCUAAGUCGGAUUAGCUAGUUGGUGGGGUAAAGGCCUACCAAGGCGACGAUCAGUAGCUGGUCUGAGAGGACGAUCAGCCACACUGGGACUGAGACACGGCCCAGACUCCUACGGGAGGCAGCAGUGGGGAAUAUUGGACAAUGGGCGCAAGCCUGAUCCAGCCAUGCCGCGUGUGUGAAGAAGGCCUUAUGGUUGUAAGGCACUUUAAGCGAGGAGGAGGCUACUUUAGUUAAUACCUAGAGAUAGUGGACGUUACUCGCAGAAUAAGCACCGGCUAACUCUGUGCCAGCCGCCGCAGUAAUAC
rnacentral:rRNA from 1 species